rnacentral:rRNA from 1 species
GAUGAACGCUGGCGGCGUGCUUAACACAUGCAAGUCGAACGGUGAAGGCGGAGCUUGCUCUGCUGGAUCAGUGGCGAACGGGUGAGUAACACGUGAGCAAUCUGCCCCUGACUCUGGGAUAAGCGCUGGAAACGGCGUCUAAUACUGGAUACGAGCUGCGAAGGCAUCUUCAGCAGCUGGAAAGAAUUUCGGUCAGGGAUGAGCUCGCGGCCUAUCAGCUUGUUGGUGAGGUAAUGGCUCACCAAGGCGUCGACGGGUAGCCGGCCUGAGAGGGUGACCGGCCACACUGGGACUGAGACACGGCCCCGACUCCUACGGGAGGCAGCAGUGGGGAAUAUUGCACAAUGGGCGAAAGCCUGAUGCAGCAACGCCGCGUGAGGGACGACGGCCUUCGGGUUGUAAACCUCUUUUAGCAGGGAAGAAGCGAAAGUGACGGUACCUGCAGAAAAAGCGCCGGCUAACUACGUG